GAGCGUGCGCGGGCGCGUCGGCCGGCGAGGGAGCAGCAAACGGCCGGCGGCUGGCGCCGCGCGGGGGGCGGGCGGCGCGGAGUAGGCGGCGGCGGCCAUGGCCGAGGCGUCGCCGCAGCCCGGACGGUACUUCUGCCACUGCUGCUCCGUGGAGAUCGUCCCGCGCCUGCCGGGGUCUCACUCCUGCGUCUUCCCGCUUCCUGUCCCCACUGGCCGUGACAGGAGGGGCUGGUUGCCUGACAGCCUGCCUGCCUGGGAUUAUAUCUGUCCAAGAUGCGAGUCUGGUUUCAUCGAGGAGCUUCCGGAAGAGACCAGGAGCACAGAAAAUGGUUCUGCCCCCUCCACAGCCCCCACGGACCAGAGCCGGCCACCGGUGGAGCACGUGGAUCAGCACCUGUUCACGCUGCCGCAGGGCUACGGACAGUUUGCUUUUGGCAUCUUCGAUGACAGCUUCGAGAUCCCCACGUUCCCUCCUGGGGCGCAGGCUGACGAAGGCAGGGACCCUGAGAGCCGGCGGGAGAGAGACCAUCCGUCCCGGCACCGGUAUGGCGCCCGGCAGCCCCGCGCCCGCCUCACCACGCGGCGGGCCACCGGCCGGCACGAAGGCGUCCCCACGCUGGAAGGGAUCAUCCAGCAGCUUGUCAAUGGCAUCAUCACGCCCGCCACCAUCCCCAGUCUGGGUCCCUGGGGAGUCCUGCACUCAAACCCUAUGGACUACGCCUGGGGUGCCAAUGGCCUGGACGCCAUCAUCACACAGGUCCUGCAGCCUCGCGUUUCAGAGCCCCGGGCCGGGCCCCCGAGGAGCUCCCGGCACUCUCGCCUCUUGUCUUUCAGCUCCUCAAUCAGUUUGAAAACACGGGCCCCCCACCGGCAGAUAAAGAGAAAAUCCAGGCCCUCCCCACCGUCCCCGUCACCGAGGAGCACGCUCCGGGCUCGAGUGCCCUGUGUGCAAGGACGACUACGCGCUGGGUGAGCGUGUGCGGCAGCUGCCCUGCAACCACCUGUUCCACGACGGCUGCAUCGUGCCCUGGCUGGAACAGCACGACAGCUGCCCCGUCUGCCGAAAAAGCCUCACGGGACAGAACACGGCCACGAACCCCCCGGGCCUCACUGGGGUGAGCUUCUCCUCCUCGUCGUCGUCCUCCUCCUCCAGCUCGCCCAGCAACGAGAACGCCACAGGCAACUCGUGAGCCCGCGUCGGCCGCCGGGAAAGCACGGGUCCUUUCCCACCCACCCGCCCGCAGCCGGCGCCACACGGCACCCAUGGACUGGUGCCCCGGCGGGCCACGCUUGGCUGGUCAGUGCUGCAGGUCCCGCCUGUUCCAGGGCAGGAUCCGGGCCCGGCCCACUGGCCCCCUGGCUCGGGAAGGCGUGGACCACAUGGUCCCCGCUGGGGCGUCCCCAGCCUCCCCGUCCUCUCUCUAACCUCACCCUCUAAACGUCAGCGGUGGAAAGAUUUUUAUAAUUUUAAAUUAUUACUGCUUUGAAAUAAAUGGACGUUUUAGCUCACACGGCGGCCAUGCAUGAUUUGUGGCAAAAGACGGGGCGCAGCUGCCCCACAGUGCUGCAGGUGCCGCCAGGACAGGCUGCGUGGGCCCCCGGCCUCCCCUCGGCCGCCUCCACGACCCGGAGUUCGGGGGCUCGGGACCAUGAGGAUGACCAGCAAAAUUCAAGAACAAAAUUGCUCCAACAGACUUUUUUAAAGGAAAAAAUAUGUGUAUCUUGAAAGCUAUUUAAAAUACACUACUUACAAAGAGAA